UUCUCUUGUUAACCACAGAACAGAUACAGCAUAGGAAGUAGCAGCACAAAUUUCUCCUCACUGCCCUGUCAAUGUUUCUCAAGCCCGAAUUGGACAGACCAGCUCUAUCAUAACUGUGAAAG
rnacentral:sRNA from 1 species